UACAGAGGGUGCGAGCGUUAAUCGGAAUUACUGGGCGUAAAGCGUGCGUAGACGGUUAUUUAAGUCGGAUGUGAAAGCCCCGGGCUCAACCUGGGAAUUGCAUUCGAGACUGAAUAGCUAGGGUACGGUAGAGGGAAGUGGAAUUUCCGGUGUAGCGGUGAAAUGCGUAGAUAUCGGAAGGAACAUCAGUGGCGAAAGCGGUUCUCUGGGACGGUACUGACGCUGAGACGCGAAAGCGUGGGGAGCGAACAGG
rnacentral:rRNA from 1 species